rnacentral:rRNA from 1 species
GACGAACGCUGGCGGCGUGCUUAACACAUGCAAGUCGAACGGUAAGGCCCUUCGGGGUACACGAGUGGCGAACGGGUGAGUAACACGUGGAUGAUCUGCCCUGCACUUCGGGAUAAGCCUGGGAAACUGGGUCUAAUACCGGAUAGGACCACUGCCUGCAUGGGUGGUGGUGGAAAGCUUUUGCGGUGUGGGAUGGGCCCGCGGCCUAUCAGCUUGUUGGUGGGGUGAUGGCCUACCAAGGCGACGACGGGUAGCCGGCCUGAGAGGGUGACCGGCCACACUGGGACUGAGAUACGGCCCAGACUCCUACGGGAGGCAGCAGUGGGGAAUAUUGCACAAUGGGCGCAAGCCUGAUGCAGCGACGCCGCGUGAGGGAUGACGGCCUUCGGGUUGUAAACCUCUUUCAGCACCGACGAAGCGCAAGUGACGGUAGGUGCAGAAGAAGGACCGACCAACUACGUGCCAGCAGCCGCCGUAACAC